GGGGCCUGAAGGAAACGCCCAUCACUUAUCUCUUUACACGGCGCAUCCGUCCUCCACUCAUCCUCCUCUCAGUCUAUCUUUUUCUCUUCUCCUCCAUUAAAUUUCUCAACACCGCACGACGAGCUCGUCCAUGUCUCCGCUGACGGCGCAGCUAUCUGCUGCUGCUCCGACCGGGAGACACUGCGAGCCUGGGUCAGGCGUUGGAGCUCUGUAGCUGGUUAACCCCUUCCCUGCCCAUGCUACAAGGGGGAAGCACCUUAGUGCAAGGAAGACGACGAGGCCCCGCGGCCGGGGAGCAGCCGGCCAGAGAUGUUUCAACCGGCGGGGUCGGCGGAGAGUGGGGAUUUCAUAGCGAAGCUACAACAGCGACGGUGGUGACGAAAUUUUGCUACAUCCAUUGCCAGAUUUUGCUACGACGGGCGAGAUUUUUUGAUACAAUGAUUUUAUGGUGAAGCUGCAAUCGCAAUGGCAGUGACGAAGUUUUGCUGCAUCCAUCAUCGGAUUUUGUUGGAAGCUACAACCGCCUGCCAGCGAUGCUGGAACCGGCAGUGCGAGGAGCUGCGAGCGGCACACGUCGAUGCUACAACCGCCUGGGCGUGAAGCUACGACCCCCAGCAUCCUUUGCUGGAAGCGGUCACCGGCGAUGCUACAACCUUCAUCGACGGAUGCUACAACCGUCAACGACAA